AAACCCAAUCAUGCAUUCAUAAUGGCAUCAUCAACCAUUAUAUACAUAUAUAGAUUAACAAAUGAAUCUUAACAUUUCACAUCAAGUAUUCAUAUACACAUAAUUAGACCUUGACCAUUAGCAGAGUGACUCUGAGCACGGUUGCUAACAUCUAAUGUCAUGGUAAACUUACCGAGCAAUGGAUAGGGAGGAGCACCUC
rnacentral:lncRNA from 1 species